rnacentral:rRNA from 1 species
UACCUCAGUAACGGCGAGUGAAGCGGUAAUAGCUCAAAUUUGAAAUCUGGCUCUUUCAGGGUCCGAGUUGUAAUUUGUAGAGGAUGUUUCGGGCACGGUUACGGUUUAAAUUUCUUGGAACAGAAUGUCAUAGAGGGUGAGAGUCCCGUCUUGAACCGAUUACUUCGUCCAUGUGAAACUCCUUCGACGAGUCGAGUUGUUUGGGAAUGCAGCUCAAAAUGGGUGGUAAAUUUCAUCUAAAGCUAAAUAUUGGCCAGAGACCGAUAGCGCACAAGUAGAGUGAUCGAAAGAUGAAAAGCACUUUGAAAAGAGAGUUAAACAGUAUGUGAAAUUGUUGAAAGGGAAGCGCUUGUAAUCAGACUUGAGCUUAACAGUUCCCCCUUCGUUCUCGUUGGGUUAUUCUGUUUUGUCCAGGCCAACAUCAGUUCGAGUGGUUGGUUAAAGACUUUGGGAAUGUAUCUACCCUUCGGGGUCGACUUAUAGCCUGGAGUGUCAUGCAGCCUACUUGGACUGAGGAACGCGCUUCGGCUCGGAUGUUGGCGUAAUGGUUAUAAGCGACCCGUCUUGAAACACGGACCAAGGAGUCUAACAUCUAUGCGAGUCUUUGAGUGGAAAACUCCCAGGCGUAAUGAAAGUGAACGGAGGUAAGAAGCCUUUAGGCUGCAUUAUCGACCGAUCUUGAUGUCUUCGGAUGGAUUUGAGUAAGAGCAUAGCUGUUGGGACCCGAAAGAUGGUGAACUAUGCCUGAAUAGGGUGAAGCCAGAGGAAACUCUGGUGGAGGCUCGCAGCGGUUCUGACGUGCAAAUCGAUCGUCAAAUUUGGGUAUAGGGGCGAAAGACUAAUCGAACCAUCUGGUAGCUGGUUCACGCCGAAGUUUCCCUCAGGAUAGCAGUAACGUUUUCAGUUUUAUGAGGUAAAGCGAAUGAUUAGAGGCCUUGGGAGUGAAACACUCUUAACCUAUUCUCAAACUUUAAAUAUGUAAGAAGUCCUUGUUGCUUAAUUGAACGUGGACAUUUGAAUGUAUCGUUACUAGUGGGCCAUUUUUGGUAAGCAGAACUGGCGAUGCGGGAUGAACCGAACGUGAGGUUAAGGUGCCGGAAUACACGCUCAUCAGACACCACAAAAGGUGUCAAUGCAUCUAGACAGCCGGACGGUGGCCAUGGAAGUCGGAAUCCGCUUAGGAGUGUGUAACAACUCACCGGCCGAAUGCAUUGGCCCUGAAAAUGGAUGGCGCUUAAGCGUGUUACCUAUACCUCGCC